CACUGUUGGACACUAUGGGUUGUAAAGUGCAUCCUUGGGCUAAAGAAAUGUAGCUUGAUGAGCCAAAUUGGAACAGUAUUGUCUGUUCCAAUCUUUAAAUAGUAUUUUCAGCAUUUGCAUUUACUACCAGUCCAGAGUAAGUGUCUAUUCCUGCUGGGACCCAUUUGUAGCUCCCAGGGGCUACUGGCAUUGGUCUAAUAUAAUCCACUUACCAGCUAUGUGUGGGGCCUUCCCCAUGUAGAAUCUUCUCUGUAGCCAUCUGCAAUCUCUAUCUCUCCUGUUGACAGAUGAAACAGUUCUUGGUGACAUUCUGUGCUUCAGAGAGUGAAGAGGAAUAUGUCUACAUUCAGUCCAUUUCUGCAUGGCUGUAACCCCCACACCAUGUUCACUUAUUUCAUGGACCCAGCUCACCACCUCAUGGGAGAGCAUCAAUAAGUCUAUAUGAUGGUUUAAGUCACCUCCUGAACCUAAACGUGGACUCCCACCAAAUGGAUCCAUCAGCAGGGAGACCUCAGGAAAGAGAGAAUUUGGGGACUGAACUCUGACUGUGAUUCUUUUUUCUUCCUGAGGGGCCUGGAGCUCACACCUGUGAGCUGGAGCCAGUAUUCUUUUAUGCUGACCCCAAAUGUUUAAACAAAGCUUAUCAUCCUAAACCAAUUGCAAAUCAGAAAAUUUUUGAAGCUACCUAUGACCUGUAAGCCCCCACUUCAAGAUAUUCCACCCUUUUAGGCCAAAACCAAUGUGUACCCUCCAUGUAUUGAUUUAUAAUUUUGCCUCCAAUUUCUGCUUUCCUGAAAUUUACCUGUCUUUAAAAACCCUUACCUCCCAGUCAUUGGGGAGUUCAGAAUUUAAGCAUUAACUGUCUGAUCCUUUCUUCUUGGAGCCCUGCAAAUAAACACCUUUCUUUCUACCAAUGCAAACCUCAGUGUAGAUAUAUGAUCUUACUGCACCAGCCAAGCAGACCCCGGUUUGGUCUGCAACUUUUUUUUUUUUUUUUUGGGAGGAAGUCUCACUCUCACCCAGGCUGGAGUGCAGUGGUGCAAUUGGUGCAAUCUCGGCUCACUGCAACCUCCGCCUCCUUGGUUCAAGCAAUUCUCCUGUCUCAGCCUCCAGAGUAGCUGGGAUUACAGGGAUACACCACCAUGCCCAGCUAAGUUUUGUAUUUUUAGUAGAGACAGGGUUUCACCAUAUUGGUCAGGCUGGUCUCCAACUCCUGUCCUCAAGUGAUCCACCUGCCUCGGCCUCCCACAGUGCUGGGAUUACAGGCGUGAGGCACCACGCCCAGCCUUGUUCUGUAACAUUUUUAGUGACUUAGUU
rnacentral:lncRNA from 1 species